rnacentral:rRNA from 1 species
UACGGGGGGGGCAAGCGUUGUUCGGAAUUACUGGGCGUAAAGCGCGCGUAGGCGGCUCUUCAAGUCAGGCGUGAAAGCCCCAGGCUUAACCUGGGAACUGCGUUUGAUACUGUUGAACUAGAGUGUGGAAGGGGCUACUGGAAUUCCUGGUGUAGCGGUGAAAUGCGCAGAUAUCAGGAAGAACACCAAUGGCGAAAGCAGCUCUCUGGGACGGUACUGACACUGAGACGCGAAAGCGUGGGGAGCGAACAGG